UAAUGUAGACAGAAAAAGGAAGUCCCGAGUGAACGGGACUUCCCAUGUAGAGCCGUUAAAGACGGUGGCAGAUUUUAACGAUAUUUAAUA
rnacentral:sRNA from 1 species